rnacentral:lncRNA from 10 species
AUCCACCCAAGACCCGGUUCCUCGAUUCCCAUCCUUACGACCGAGGAAAAAAGAGUAAAUUUUCCUAUUAUAGCCUUCUCUCGCACCUUCCCCGCUUCCCACCAGCCGUCUCCACUGUCCUCACCGUCCCCAUCCUCAUCCAUGGCGAAAUCUUCGCCCCCAGCCUCGUGAAGAUCUAGCACGUCCGCCAUCUCGCCUUCGAUCGAGAUCUCGUCUGUGCCGCUCAGACACUAGGUACCUCGGGAAACUGUCGCAGAGGGGAAAGGUCGCCAGUCAAGCUGACCAAUCAAAGGCUAACUCUAAAUCCCUCCCUCUGCACGGUAAAAACACGCAAAUUGGGGCGGGCCUAGUGCGGAAAGAUACCGGAAGUGUUUCUGUGGCCAUCUUGAACAGAUCGCAAGCUAAAUCAUCCAUCUUAGGAGGUACAGACUACAGGGGGCCGUGGCUUCCUCUUAACCGCGGCAGCUGCUGAUAAAUACUGUACUAUUAACAGUGAGGCCCGGCGUAAUUUCCUUAUUAGAGGGCUUCUUUACGUCUCUUCAUCCCAAACUGGGAAAUGCUUGCUGGCCUGCUCUAUAGUGCUGUUGCUUAAAAAGUCAUCUGUGAAGAAAACCAGAGGGAGAAAUUUCACCUGCCAAAGUGGAUAAAGAGUUCAGAUCUGCCAAGAAGACACCAAGAUGGGAUAGACAAUUGCAAGAGAUUUAUCAGGGAGGAAGUAGGAGACAACAGGGAGAGCCUUCUGAGCACAGCAAAGAUCUCAUGCCUGUGGAAGAGAGGGAAAGAAGGAGGUCUAGAUAU